rnacentral:rRNA from 1 species
UGGGGAAUUUUGGACAAUGGGGGCAACCCUGAUCCAGCAAUGCCGCGUGUGUGAAGAAGGCCUUCGGGUUGUAAAGCACUUUUGUCCGGGAAGAAAUCGCACCUGAUAAUACCGGGUGUGGAUGACGGUACCGGAAGAAUAAGGACCGGCUAACUACGUGCCAGCAGCCGCGGUAAUACGUAGGGUCCAAGCGUUAAUCGGAAUUACUGGGCGUAAAGCGUGCGCAGGCGGUUGUGCAAGACCGAUGUGAAAUCCCCGGGCUUAACCUGGGAAUUGCAUUGGUGACUGCACGGCUAGAGUGUGUCAGAGGGGGGUAGGAUUCCACGUGUAGCAGUGAAAUGCGUAGAGAUGUGGAGGAAUACCGAUGGCGAAGGCAGCCCCCUGGGAUAACACUGACGCUCAUGCACGAAAGCGUGGGGAGCAAACAGG